UACGGAGGAUCCGAGCGUUAUCCGGAUUUAUUGGGUUUAAAGGGUGCGCAGGCGGGAGAUUAAGUCGGCGGUGAAAUUUUGCAGCUCAACUGUAAAAGUGCCUUCGAAACUGGUUUCCUUGAGUGUGGAUGAAGUAGGCGGAAUUUGUGGUGUAGCGGUGAAAUGCAUAGAUAUUACACAGAACACCGAUUGCGAAGGCAGCUUACUAAUCCAUCAUUGACGCUGAGGCACGAAAGCGUGGGGAUCAAACAGGAUUAGAUACCCCUCGUA
rnacentral:rRNA from 1 species